GACGAGGGGUCCUAGCGUUGCUCGGAAUCAUUGGGCGUAAAGCGUAUGUAGGCGGCCUUAUAAGUCGGGUGUGAAAUCCCUGGGCUCAACCCAGGAAGUGCAUUUGAUACUGUGAGGCUUGAGUAUGGGAGAGGAUAGUAGAAUUCCUGGUGUAGUGGUGAAAUACGUAGAUAUCAGGAGGAAUACCGGUGGCGAAGGCGGCUAUCUGGCCCAAUACUGACGCUGAGAUACGAAAGCGUGGGGAUCAAACAGG
rnacentral:rRNA from 1 species